GGAGCACCGAGGGAGCACCUGUCCUCGGGCAGGCACUACAGGAACCGCAGACUCAUCGGCAGCACGGCCUGCGGACGCCCAUUCUCAUGUAAGUGUCAGUGCCAACGCUGGUAUUUCAGGAGACAUCCCAACGGGCUGCCGGCUAUAUUAGGAUUCUCUGCCCUGCAAAAGUUUCCAAAAUAUGUGGACAGGCCGCCUGAUGACACUAUGUUUACGGAUCUGCUAGUGGCUUGCCCACUUGGGGAGUAACCCUGGGAAGUCUUGCAGUUUUGUUAAAGUGUGCGUGGCCACCUGAAUGCUGCCUUAUCACAAGCCAGAUACAUACUGGUCUGCAGGGUGACUCCCCACUCUUGAUCCUCUGAGAUGAUUGUGAACUGGGUGCUGUAAGUCCUACCACUUUGCUUAAAUGAAUGUGUCUUUUGUCCAGCUCAGCCGCCUCGGAUCUCACUGCCACCGGCCUUCCCGCACACCCUUGCCACCUGCCUUUGCCCCAUCAGCCUCAGCCUCAGCUCAUUCUCUCAGGCAGUCCCAGCAUUGGCACGGUACCUCCUCCCGCCGUGGGCCGCACGUCUCUGCUCCCUGUCAACCCUACUGCCAUCAGCAUCACCACAAGUGACUUGUCUGCCCAGGAGGAUGCAACACCAUCUACCUCCACCGGCCACCUUUCGGUGUUUUCUGCUUUCCAAGUGAAGACACCAGCAGUGCCCCCAGAGCAGACCAGCCAGAGAUUUUCCGAAGCCUCCCUCCCAUAGGGUGCUCCGUGGAGGAGGCCUGAGAUGCUCUCAUGACUUUGGAGCCAGGGUGGCCGGCCACCUUGGCCUGGCCGUCUUUGGGGUGGGCUUUGGGAGCCCAGCACUGCUGCAGAGUGUGGUGGGUGAGAACGGCUGCUGCUUGCUGUACGUGGUGGAGGACCAGCUGUGUGGUGUGGAGUAAGCCUUCAGAGCUGAGCAUUUGGCCAACACCAGAGUGGUUCGGGAACAGGAUGCGGACAUUUUCCUCAACGACCAGCGCGUCUCUGGAGUAGUUGUGUGCUCCCCGCCGGUGGCAGCUUCUGAAAUCGUGAUGCAUGCUCUCCAAGCAGAACAUACAUGUUUGGACGAACGGAGGCAAGAUGGUGCACUUCCGGGUUCUUCUUCAC